GGGCACGGGGUGCGCCCCGGGUUGCUCUGUGCCUCUGCUGGGCGUCCUGCGGGUCUGGAGCUCUGCGGAGGACUUGGACAUCCUCAUCAUCCCAGCGCCCUGCCUGCUCCCGUAACCUUCUCCAGAUGGUGACACGAACAGAUGACUUCAAAGACACUUCAUGAACUUGCCUUUAUAGCAGAAGCCAGGGGAUGCUGCCAGCGCCUGGAACGCGAGCGUUAGGAAUCCGUGCUGUGUAAAUUAGCAACAUCAAUGCCUACUGCAUUUAAUAGGACCAUACGGGGAAUGCGAAGAUAUUAUAUAAUUUCAACCAUAUUAAAGCCUCCAGAACUCGCAACCUCAUUAUUUCCUGCAGCGUCUCGCUGCAAACUGUAUUACUUUAUUUGGAAUGUGUUCGCUUUCGGAUUAAACAAUUGAGCCACGUUAAAGUAACACGAAGGGGAAAACCAUAAAACUUUUGGCUGCUUUUCACAGAGGUCGUUGUGUUGGGUUCAAAAUUAUCCCAGGAGCAAUGAUUUUCUGCCACCCAGGAUAAAAAACAGCGUUGGAGUUGUGCUAAUUCUGUGCAGUUACUUUAAUCACUGGAGUAAAUUCUACCAAAGAGCUCGACUGUAGUGUCAGCCUCCCCCUAAUCACAGAAAGGAAAAAACAGAAGCAAAAGGAUGGGUGUAUUGAUGUCCCUCCUCUUGGUAAUGGCUGCAUGAAGACAGAACAGCGGCGUACAGUCUGCCCCAGCUUUAACUCAUUAUUGAUGAUCCUAUUGUGCAAUGAUGGCCAAAGGGUCGUACUCUGUUGUGGGUGUUUGGCUUUCUGGUGGAAUUCAUGCACUGUGUGCGCUGUGUGUUGUAAUCGAUCCUUCCUAAAAUUAGGCUGGAGGGUGACACGUAACCUUGGCUGGGGACACCCGUGACUGCAUCCCAGCCCUCAGCGCACGUCUGGGAGCACCGCCAGCCCAGCCCAUGCAGUGGGAUGCUGCAGUUGGGGAUGAUGGACACGGAGCAGUUACAUCCAGGUCUGCUGUACGAGGCUGAAUUGCAGCAAAUGGGGCUGUUCAGGCUGCUUGUGCUUUGCACUGCUGCACACAUGUUUCAGAUGGUGGCUGAAAUCGAUCGGGGAAAGUGUGAGCACCUAAUAAAUAUUGGCAUUCCUGUGUCUCACGUGCUAAGUCUGUUUAGAGACUGGAUAUGUCAGGGCGCUGGUAAUAGACUUCGGAGAACCUUUCGGUUCCACUUGGCCGCCUCGAGUCUGGUUCAUGGGUAGGACUGAAAGUUAUUGCCCAGUUUGUGCCAUAUGAGGGAUGAGCUCAGUGUAAUUUCCAAAGAUGAAAGCGGCCACAUUGCAGAAAGAGCCGUCAUAAAUGGCCGUGUGAGUGCCUUACGGGCGCUGUCUGAUGUAGUGUGUUGGCUGUGGAGCACGGAGGGUUUGCUGGCUGCCCUUCCCUAUCACUGCCAUAGACCAAAGGCCUUCACGUGGGAGGUCUCUAAGGGUGUGUGAGAUGCCUGUAGACUCUCAUCUUUCUUCCCCUCCCAAACUGUAGAACAGUACUCUGCACUGUGCACCAGUGAGAGAAACGUACAGGCCCUGACCGUCAGUUCUGCAAGCCAUCAAAUAGGUGGAAAUAAAACACUUUAGCAAAACGAAGAGAUUGGACGUGUCAAGUAUGGUGAA
ensembl:lncRNA